UACGUAGGUGGCUAGCGUUGUCCGGAUUUACUGGGCGUAAAGAGCGCGCAGGCGGUCGUUCAAGUCGAGUGUGAAAGCCCCCGGCUCAACUGGGGAGGGUCACUCGAUACUGAUCGACUCGAAGGCAGGAGAGGGUAGUGGAAUUCCCGGUGUAGUGGUGAAAUGCGUAGAUAUCGGGAGGAACACCAGUGGCGAAGGCGACUACCUGGCCUGUUUCUUGACGCUGAGGCGCGAAAGCUAGGGGAGCAAACGGG
rnacentral:rRNA from 1 species